rnacentral:rRNA from 1 species
GAAAACAUGGGGCUGUUGUAUAUUCGCUCUCCGCCUCUCUCAUGCGCCGCACCGCACGUACCGCCAGCAGCAGCAGCACGGGCGCCUCUCCUUUCCUAGACGGGCAAUAGGCCAUUUGACCCACCCACUCCCCCCUUUCCCAAACACGACUCUUCCCCAUCGCCACAGGAGUCCGGACUCCGGACAGAGCAAUGGACUUGGUGGCCGGCCGAUCGAUAGAUUCUCCCCACCCAGGCCGUCGAUCGACAGCAACCAUCUAGGACUAGGAAAGCCUGAGUGCCUGACGCACGCGGUACGCCUCGGCAGCUGCUCGUGCUCCAGCAGGUAGCUAGCCUAGCCAGGGCCGUCGCGCUGGAGGAGCGAGCGAGCGAGCGAGCUAGUCCAGAGAUCUCUCUCUCCUCUCCUCGCCUAUAAGUACGUCAGGCCGUCGUGGUGCAAUAGCAACGACGACGGCCUCACCGAAACCACACACACGCAGCUAGAGCUGCUAGCACGGGCGAGCUGAGAGAGCUGGCCGCCUUCACACACACACCGCCACUCCUGCUCGCCGGCGGCGGAGAAGGAUCGGUGGUGACAAGAAGGAGGAGAAGAAGAAGAAGAUGGUGGGGAGCGGCAUGCAGCGCGGGGCCCCGCUGGUGGUGGGGCGCGUGAUCGGCGACGUGGUGGACCCGUUCGUGCGGCGGGUGGCGCUGCGGGUGGGCUACGCGUCCAGGGACGUGGCCAACGGCUGCGAGCUGAGGCCGUCCGCCAUCGCCGACCCGCCGCGCGUCGAGGUCGGCGGCCCGGACAUGCGCACCUUCUACACGCUGGUGAUGGUGGAUCCGGAUGCUCCAAGCCCCAGCGAUCCCAGCCUUAGGGAGUACUUGCACUGGCUGGUCACCGACAUCCCGGGGACGACAGGAGUAUCUUUCGGGACCGAGGUGGUGUGCUACGAGGGCCCGCGGCCGGUGCUCGGGAUCCACCGGCUGGUGUUCCUGCUCUUCCAGCAGCUGGGCCGCCAGACGGUGUACGCGCCGGGGUGGCGGCAGAACUUCAGCACCCGCGACUUUGCCGAGCUCUACAACCUCGGCCUGCCCGUCGCCGCCGUCUACUUCAACUGCCAGAGGGAGACCGGAACCGGCGGGAGGAGGAUGUGAUCAUGAUCACCAGCUCCUUGUAGUACGAUACUAGUAGUAUAUGUGACCACAGGAUAUGACGAUGAUGAUGAUGGUGGUGAGGAUGAAGUCGAUCGUAUGGGUGGUUUGAUUAUACAGGGCGAAAUGGAGAAAGCAUUUGUAAUGUUCGAGAUAAUAACUAUGCGUGCGACAUUUUUGGUCCGAUGCUCGUGCAUGCUACGUACUUCUGAACCACACAGAUUGAAAAGAUGUUGGGAUCCAACGGGCCAGCCGGGAGAUCGUACGGAAAUCAGAUGGAAAUUGUCGUGCGGGUAGCGUCGCUGUAUUUGUAAUGUAUAUGUGUGAACUGUCUUUAUACUUUGUAGAAAUGUAUUAUUGGGUGCUUGUGGUUGUUCAUUUGCCACCCCACCUCCUCUCUACCGGAAGUAAUUUUCUUACAAGACGGCUAUCUCUUCUGGUCCCAAUAUUGUUUUCACGUCUUAAGAAAUGUAACAGGUUAUUUCUACGGCUUUCUAUUUUGUGUUUAGCACAAGUAGUUUUGUGUAAUCAUUUGUUCUGAAAUAAGCCAAC